UACGAAGGGGGCUAGCGUUGUUCGGAAUCACUGGGCGUAAAGCGCACGUAGGCGGAUUUUAAGUCAGGGGUGAAAUCCCGGGGCUCAACCUCGGAACUGCCUUUGAUACUGGGGAUCUCGAGUCCGGGAGAGGUGAGUGGAAUUGCGAGUGUAGAGGUGAAAUUCGUAGAUAUUCGCAAGAACACCAGUGGCGAAGGCGGCUCACUGGCCCGGUACUGACGCUGAGGCACGAAAGCGUGGGGAGCAAACAGGG
rnacentral:rRNA from 1 species